ensembl:snRNA U6 U6 spliceosomal RNA
GUACUAACUUUGGCAGCACAUAUACUAAAAUUGGAAUGAUACAGGGAUUUAGCAUGCCCCCUGCACAAGGAUGACAUGCAAAUUCGUGAAGAGUUCCAUAUUUUU